GGUGUACCUGGUAGAUUGUGAACGGUCUGUACAGUUGACUUUUAUCCUUCCAACUGCUGAGCACACUAAUAUUUCAUUCCAGAUUGCAGGAAGGAGGACCUGUGACAAAUUCAAAGAACCACCAAGGAUAUCCUGGACCCAGACCACACGUGAGAGCAACUGCUUGGAUCAUGAUCUCAGCUCCUAGCUGACCAGCACUUCCUAUCACAUACCCUGCAUGUGAGCCCCCACAGAAAGCACUGGAAAGGCUAAUUGUCAAACCUGAUUCUCCGCGACUAGCUGGAUGCUUUAGUCUUCCUCCAGGGCACUUUUCACCAGGUAAGUCCACUAGGCCUUUUAUGAAAGUGCUAAAUGUCACUGCAGCGGGAGGAAGGAGACAAUGCCACGCUCUCUCUUUGUGCAACAAUACACGUUUAUUGUCCUUUUACCUCUGCAGUCAUCUUUGAGUAAUUGUUGUGUAAACAAUAGAAUGGAAUGAAAUUACAUUAAGUUGUAUGCAAAUGGCUCUAGAACACCUUAACAAUUAUGACAAGGCAAUUAUAAAUAACUUUUUUUUUCCUUAGUAAUAUAUAUUUGCUUUUUAAAGUACAUUAAAGAGCUGCCAUAUCUAGGGUUAGCUAGGAAAGAGCAAAUGGUACCAUCUGGGAGCCACCACCCUGAAAGUUUAGACUCCAAUUUUGAAAAUCUGAUGGUUUACUAUUCCAUAAUGUAUAGUCAAGCAGAGGGCGAUUUGGGUUGAAAGUAUGUAUUCUUGAAACUUAACAGCGUUUUACCUUUUAGUCAUUGCACAAAACCCUUUCUAUUAUUUUUCACUCCAUCUGGGUAUUCUGCAGAAUUUCAAGUAAAACACGGAUUCUGGUAUUUUUCAAGUUUAUCGCCUUUGGAACGACAGAUUCUAUCAUUUCAGGAGACAUCAAAUCAGAGGCACCUCCCUCUCCCAGGAGACAAUCAGAUUGUGAACUGGUUUUCAGGCAAACCAAGAGAGUAAGCAUCCUAGUUCCUAAUUCAGUCAUUUCAAAAAUCACAAGUUAUAAAUACUCGAAAGAUAGACCUGAAUUUUUUUGUUUAAAUAACAAGAGUAACUGCAGGAAGCAUAUAUAAUCAAAAACUUUUUUUUUCUUUCUUAUAGCUAAGGUGUGUAAUGCAUAAAUAUAUGAAAAAUAAAAUUCACAGUCAGUUUUAAAACUAGAAUUCA
rnacentral:lncRNA from 1 species